ACUGAGUGGGAAUGAUUAGAAUAAAAUUGAGGACUCUAGCAGCGGACUUAGAAUGGUAUCAGCGGGUUCUCAUCCUACAACCUGACUUUGGAAGUUGGAGAUAAGGGGUGUCUAGGGGUUGGGUCAGACUCCAGUUUUGGAGUCUGACUCACAGUUGGGCGGAGCCAAGGCCCCCUGAGGCUGAGCCAGAACCUCUGAGAGUGAACCUGGAGACUCAGAGGGCAGCUGGCAGGGCUCACAGUGUGGGGUCCCACCCUGCAGAGGCUGGGUCAGGCCCUCAAGGGCUGGGUUGCUGGCUUCAAGAGGCUGGGCCAGGAUGUCAAGGGGCGGAGUUCCGGGUUCCACAGCUGGGACAGUGUUGCCCAGAGCUGAUUCCUGGGACUUGCAGAAACGUGCGAAGCUGCUCCUGCCGCACGUCCACCAGGUACCUGCAGAUGGGAAGCGCCCUGUCAGGGACCCAGAUUUUGAUCCCCAGCCAGGAUGUUCCCCACCCUCCACCCCACUGACUCACCGGGCUAAUUCCACAAUCAAGUUCCCUCCGGGUGCCACACAGGCCCCAAGCUCAGGGAUGAGAAGAUGGACCAUACUGCAGAGAGGACGGAGGACAGGCUGAGAUUCAGCUCCAAAUCCGGAGGGAGGAUGGGGCUCUGGGAUCCCAGACAAUGAGGGAGGAGGGGUGGCAAAACUGGAGUCUGGGUCCUGGGGAAAGAAGGGAGCAGGAGGUCUGGACUCCUGGGUCUGAGGGAGGAGGGGCUGGGGGCCUGGACCCCUGGGUCUAAGCAAGGAGGGGCUGGGGGCCUGGACUCCUGGGUCUGAGGGAGGAGGGGCUGGGGGCCUGAUCCUGGGUCUUUGUGAGCACAGCUGCCUCCCCGCUUACCCACAGGCCACAUAGAGGAGCUGGAAUCGGCCGUUGUAGCAGCUCUUGUGGUGGAGAGUCUGAGCAGAAUUGAGCGGCAGGAAGUGGACGUCCCAGCCUCGCCGCGCACCUUGACUGGCUGGCCGUUGCUCGUCCGCAGGAGGCUCUCGUCGUCCGCUUCGAUGCCGAAGGCCACGAAGGGCCCCGUGGCGAUGUCCCCCCAGUACCCGCGCGCUGCCACGCGCUCCCCACGCUGGAAAAGGAGGGAGAGAGGAGGCAGGUAAUCUAGAGAUGAUUUGCGGUGUAUGGGACCAUGUGUACAGGCUAUUUGCUGCUGCUGCACUGGCCUCGUCCCUGGAUCCCUCGCCGCAGAUCUGUCCUACACAGGGUUCCAGAGGAGUCAUCCUAACACCAUCUGACCCUGUCCCUCUCAUGCUCAAAACAUAUUUGUAGCCUUCAUCACCUUCAUGACAUGGAUACUGCUGAGUUCUCCAGACACUUCACUCCAGAGUGCAGCUAUUGUGAGAAAUGACUCUUUGUUCCCCAAAUAAGCCUCAGAAUCUGGAUAUGGGGCCUGAAUCUGGAUAUGGGGCCUCAACACAUGCUCCAACUUGGACUAGAAUGUCCUUCUCUCUGGUCUCAGUUAACUCUGUCCCUCAGGUCUCAGUGCAGAAGUCACCUCCACCACGAAGCCUCCUCUGUCUGACCCUCUGUUUUAAACUUUUUCCUACUGUAAAUAUGUCCCAUUUUCUGAAAAAAAUCAGCAUAUUUUAAAGUAUUCUGGCAC
rnacentral:lncRNA from 10 species